rnacentral:lncRNA from 1 species
GCAGCAGCAAGUUCCCAGCCACGAGGCCAAAGUGACCGAGGACAAUGAAAUACAGUGUGAGUACCAACACUUUCCUACAGGUUACCCACAGCCCCCUCUGUCUGUGGGACCCCCUUCUUGUGGCCUGGCUGCCCUCCAGCACCACCAGAAUCCCUGAGCCCAUGGGCCGGCCCUGCUGCAGCCUCAGGAGCUGCACUGAGUUGCAGGGACCUGCCCCAAACCCCCUUUCCAUGCUCUCCAUCCCUCCUCUCACAGCAGGACCUUUCCCAAUUCCACAUGCAAUCCCAGCAGUUCAUGUCCCAGUGGCAUUUGCAAAACCACUGCCCAUGGCACAAGGGCAGAUCUCUCCCCACGCCGUUGCUCUGCUCCUUCCCUGCACGCACGGCCCAGCUCCUGCCUGCAGAAGAAAGGUGACAACAGACCCCCCAUCCCUGCUCUGCAUCCACAGAGGGAAGGGCAGCUUCCUCUGCUGCCAGGAGUGGGGUGAGAUUAGGGGGACACAGGGCAGGGGAUUCAGUCUUGACUCUGGGGAAUUUGCUGUUCAAAGGCAGGGUGGGGCUUCUCCCUCCCAGAACAGGAAGCAAGGGCUCACUCUGUGCUUUUUGCCCCCACCAGACUCCACCAUCGCCCACGUUGGACACAACAGGCCGGGCAGGCAGGAGCUGAACAGCAGCACAGAAUACGCCCCGGUGAGGCCCUCCCGCAGCCAGCCCCGGUAGCUCCAGCACGGCGAGUGCCCCGGGACAAUCGCCCACGCCGGCCUUUGCUCUCUGGCACAGCUCCUGCACUGGGAAAAUGGGGCUGGGGGGUCCAGCUGGGGCUUGCUUGGGCUUGGCUGUGCUGGCCAAGGGCUGGCAGCUGGGAGCCUUGGGGCUGCUCCUGCAGCUGCUCCUCUGACCAUGGUCUCCACCUCUCCCUUCCCACCCCCACUCCCACCCACCAUGGCACAGUGGGGUUUUCAGGCCUCCCUGCAGCUCCCAGUGGGUUUGUCCCCGUCCCCAGGACCCUGCCGUGUGCCAGCCCCUUGGCUCGUGUUCACCAGCUCUUGUGGGGAAUUGCCAGGGCUUGGCUUGGGAGGGCAACACCUCCCCACAAGGCCUGGCCAGGCCAGCAUGGCUACACCCAGCCCUUGCCACCUCAUCAGAAAUGUAUUCUGGAUGAUUUAAACCAAAUCUGUGUCUGUGACUUGCACGUGUAUUUACAAUGUCUGAUGGAUCAAUACACACAAAAUCUCUCCCAUAUAUUGUACACGGACACGUUGUCAUGAUCUGGUUUUAAAGAUACUAGAAAUGCCUCUGCCCAAAUUAAGGUGCAAUUGAGACCAUAUGCCAGUGACAGUAGUAUUGGUUUUAUUUGAUAGUAAAUAUGAGAGAGAGAGAGAGAGAGAGAAAAGAGAGACAAAAGAAGAGAAAGACAUAGAAAGUAGGUGGUGGGACAGAAAGAGAGUGACAGAGACAGAGUAAAGAAAAUAUCACCAUCUGUGCAUCCCACUGGUGUCCCGGUGAUCCUCUCCAGCUGGUCUUCUUGGUGGUGAUGGUUAUUGUGGUGGUCAGCACCUGGCCUGAAGGCCUCACAAUAAUAAUUAAUCCCAUUUUAUAACUCCCUCUUUUAUAACUGAAAUAAUUAAGACAUAACUGAAAUCAUGUAAGCACCUUGACCAGUAGGUUAUGCAAUCUGACCAGUGUGGACUGUUGGAGAGCAGGCCCAGGCCGCUGGGGAUGCGAGCAGCUAUUGGCUGGUUGGCUGGGUGGCAACUGGCUCAGCCCAUAGGGAUCGACCCCGUGGAGCUUCAACUCUAUGUAAAGUAAAGGAGGACUCAAUAAAAGUUGGCUGUUGUGCAUGAACCCAGUAUGUCUUGUCGCUUGUCUGUCUUCGAAACUGCGACAAUUGGUGACCCCUGGACAUGAUACAAGAGCUGCCGCAGGUAUAGCGGGGAGACAGACGGGGCAUCAGGGAGAGCUGCCCGCAGCCUUUGAGCUGUGAAGAGCGGCGGGAUAGCCGCGGGGCAGCGGGGAGAGCUGCCCACAGCCUUCAAGCUGUGAAGAGCGGCGGGAUAGCCAUGCUUGGUCUGGACCUUCCCUUCUACUUUUUUUUUUCUUUUUCCUUUUUUGUAAUUGGGAGACAUUGCCAGCAUGAGUGCAUGGGUUUCAGCACUGAAAGACCCCGUACUACAGGUGUGGACUUCGUUUUUAACAAAAAAAGGGAUAAAAUACGACAAGCAGGCUUUAACAACCUUAAUCACAUGGUGUAAGAGCCACAGACUAGACAUCUCCGAGGGGACUGGAAAAGUGGAAGCGGGCUGGCAAAACUAUAAUCGAAGCAGCCUCCAUAGGAAAUGAGACAGCCAUUAAUGUGAUAAAGGCUUGGAGGCUUAUAGUGGACUUGCUAAAACAAUUAAAAACUGAGAAUAAUGCAAGGAUGAUGCUGGGAAUACUGCGAGCGCUGCCCACUGAGGCCAGCAGCGAGGAGAGGGCACCGGGAGAGGCAGCAGGAGGUGUGGAUGCUGCACUGGGUGCGCAAGAGAGCACCUCGGCCGAGCAGGGCUGCGCUGCUGGCUUGUGCCAGGACGUUGCCUCCGGGGAGCGUUCCGCAACCAAGCAGGGCUGCGCUGCCAGCCCAUGCCGGGGCAUCUCCCCCAUGCAGCGCCACGCGGCCGUGCGGAGCCACACCGCGUGCCCAUGCUGGGACAUACAGUUUAUGGAAAGCGCUGCCACCGAACCAAACGGUGGAGCCGCCCCUCAUGGCCGCGCUACAUGAAACAAGUGUCCUCCAGCCCCUCUGUGCCCUGCCUCCCACAGCUGCAGAGCAGCGCUUAAAGCUGGCCACUGCAGGACCAUGUCCAGCUGCUGCCAAGUCUCUGGCCACUGCCAAGCCGCUACUAGCAGGCAUUCUGUGACCAUGCCUGGCGGUGCUGGCUGCGAAGUUUCUGUGGAAACAGAGCGUCCUGCAGCUACAUUGAACGCGCCUGCACAGCCAUCACAAAAACGCUCGCCCGAGACAGACACGCUGUCAGAGGCGCCUGAUCCCCGCUUAAGCGUCACGCCUGGAAAUAGCGGUGGACCAUGAAGUCCUAAUGUCGCUGCUGCCACAGCAGCAGACACGCCGCUAUUACCGGAGCUGGAGCUGUCCCCAGGAUGUAUAGCAACAAAGGAUGUGAGAGAGACCAGAAGAGAG